rnacentral:rRNA from 1 species
CAGCCGCCACGGUAAUACGAAGGGUGCAAGCGUUAAUCGGAAUUACUGGGCGUAAAGCGUGCGUAGGCGGUUUGUUAAGUCUGUUGUGAAAUCCCCGGGCUCAACCUGGGAAUGGCAGUGGAUACUGGCUCGCUAGAGUGUGUCAGAGGAUGGUGGAAUUCCCGGUGUAGCGGUGAAAUGCGUAGAGAUCGGGAGGAACAUCAGUGGCGAAGGCGACCAUCUGGGACAACACUGACGCUGAGGCACGAAAGCGUGGGGAGCAAACAGGAUUAGAUACCCCGGUAGUCCCUGUCUCUUAUAC